AUUGAACGCUGGCGGCAUGCCUAACACAUGCAAGUCGAACGAGGGGCGGACGGGUGUAUAAUGUAGGGGAAACUGCCCGAUGGAGGGGGAAAACUACUGGAAACGGUAGCAAAUACCGCUAACCAUCGUAUGGGCCCAGAGGGGAUUAGCUAGUAGGUGGGGUAACGGCUCACCUAGGCGACGAUCCCUACCUGGUCUGAGAGGAGGACCGGCCACACUGGAACGGAGACACGGCCCAGACUCCUACGGGAGGAAGCAGUGGGGAAUAUUGCGCAAUGGGCGCAAGCCGGACGCAGCAAGGCCGCGUGUAUGAAGAAGGCUUUCGGGUUGUAAAGUACGUUCUGCGAGGAGGCGGUACCUAACGAGAAAGCACCGGCUAACUCCGUGCCAGCAGCCGCGGUAAUAC
rnacentral:rRNA from 1 species